rnacentral:rRNA from 1 species
CAGUUCGGAUUGUAGUCUGCAACCCGACUACAUGAAGCUGGAAUCGCUAGUAAUCGCGGAUCAGAAUGCCGCGGUGAAUACGUUCCCGGGUCUUGUACACACCGCCCGUCACACCAUGGGAGUCGGAAAUGCCCGAAGUCUGUGACCUAACCGUAAGGGAGGAGCAGCCGAAGGCAGGUCGGAUGACUGGGGUGAAGUCGUAACAAGGUAUC